GUUCUUUUAGUAUUAAAUAGUACAAUUGACUUCCAAUCAAUUAGUUUCGGUCCAACUCCGAAAURGAACA
rnacentral:tRNA from 1 species